rnacentral:rRNA from 1 species
AAUCAACGCUGGCGGCGUGCCUCAGACAUGCAAGUCGAACGAUUAAAGCUCUCUUCGGAGAGUGUAUAGAGUGGCGCACGGGUGAGUAACACGUAAGUAAUCUACCCUCGAGUGGGGAAUAACAACCGGAAACGGUUGCUAAUACCGCAUAAUGCAGCGGCACCGCAAGGUGACAGUUGUUAAAGAUUUAUCGCUUGAGGAGGAGCUUGCGGCAGAUUAGCUAGUUGGUAGGGUAACGGCUUACCAAGGCUACGAUCUGUAACCGGUCUAAGAGGACGGUCGGUCACACUGACACUGAAUAACGGGUCAGACUCCUACGGGAGGCAGCAGUCGGGAAUUUUGGGCAAUGGGCGAAAGCCUGACCCAGCAACGCCGCGUGAAGGAUGGAGUAUUUCGGUAUGUAAACUUCGAAGAAUAGGAAGAAUUAAUGACGGUACUAUUUAUAAGGUCCGGCUAACUACGUG